UCGGGUAAGAACUAGGGUUAGGGUUUCUUUUUCCUUUUCUUUUUCCUCUUUUCCUUUUCUUUUUCCUCUUUUCUUUUUCUUUUUCUUUCUCUUUCACUCCCGAUGGAUCUACAAGCCUAGAUCGCUCUGAUACCAAUGUUAUAUUCCUAGGAUCAAGUAGGUGUAGAUCUAGACGGGGAAUGAACUCUUUCUGUGAAACAUGUUGGGAUUCGGGUAGAGGUUGAGAGAGACAGAGAGGAAGAGAGGAAGGGGAACGUGUACCUUCUCCCUGGGACGACAAGGAGCUCGACGGGGCAGCCAUGGCGACGGUGAGAGAGCAACGGCAUCAGCGGCGGCGGAGCUUCCCGUCGCUGUCUGCGCAAGCCCUAGAUCGGUAGGGGUAUUUCAGUGGGGUGGACGGCAACGCAACGAACCUCGUAAUGCAUGCCCCGGUCCCCCACCUCUUAAUAUAGCGCAGCGCGACAGGGGCCGCCAACCAUAUUGGGUUGGACGUCCCCGAUCAGGGCGCGUCAGAUCUAGUCCAGAUGGACCAUUGGGCCCACAGGGAUGGGAGAUCACUCUAACAAGAAUCUCCUAGAUGCGUCCUUCAAAAUAUCAGCCUUUGGUUUAACAGGGCAGUACCUCUUGCGGUUUAAUCGCUUGCACAGCUGAGCUGCUUCCUAGUUGCAGUGCCGGACCUUUUCUUUUCAGUUCUGCCACUGGGCUAAGCUAAAGCCUCUGGACUCUAUCCUUAAUUCAAAACAGAGAACCUACUAGGUUUGUAAAAAAACGAGAGGAAAACAGGGCAGGGCUCCUGCUAAAAUUCAGGCAGACGUUGUUCAAGAUUCAUCGAACAGCAAGCUCAUACACAAUGAUCCGGUCUGAUACCAUUGAAGUACUUAACUCAACCAGAACUGUAUAUAUGGAAACAUUUACACUUCAGAAAUGAAGAACAAUAGACAGGAAUAGCAUAACGCGAAAUGGAUUACACACAAAACAUUCGAUAC
rnacentral:lncRNA from 1 species